rnacentral:rRNA from 1 species
UGAGGAACAUGACCUUCGGCGGGGGAUAGCCGGCCCAACGGCCGGGUAAUACCGCGUACGACCUUUCGGGGACAUCCCUGGACGGUGAAAGCAGCAAUGCGCCGAUGGAGUGCCUCGCGGCCUAUCAGCUAGUUGGUGAGGUAACGGCUCACCAAGGCGACGACGGGUAGCUGGUCUGAGAGGAUGGCCAGCCACAUUGGGACUGAGACACGGCCCAGACUCCUACGGGAGG